rnacentral:rRNA from 1 species
CACGUAGGGGGCAAGCGUUGUCCGGAUUUAUUGGGCGUAAAGAGCUCGUAGGCGGUUUCGUAAGUCGGGUGUGAAAACUCUAGGCUCAACCUAGAGACGCCACCCGAUACUGCGAUGACUAGAGUCCGGUAGGGGAGUGUGGAAUUCCUGGUGUAGCGGUGAAAUGCGCAGAUAUCAGGAGGAACACCGGUGGCGAAGGCGGGUCUCUGGGCCGAUACUGACGCUGAGGAGCGAAAGCGUGGGGAGCAAACAGG